ACUCCUGCGGGAGGCAGCAGUGGGGAAUAUUGCACAAUGGGCGCAAGCCUGAUGCAGCCAUGCCGCGUGUGUGAAGAAGGCCUUCGGGUUGUAAAGCACUUUCAGCGGGGAGGAAGGCGAUACGGUUAAUAACCGUGUUGAUUGACGUUACCCGCAGAAGAAGCACCGGCUAACUCCGUGCCAGCAGCCGCGGUAAUACGGAGGGUGCAAGCGUUAAUCGGAAUUACUGGGCGUAAAGCGCACGCAGGCGGUCUGUCAAGUCGGAUGUGAAAUCCCCGGGCUCAACCUGGGAACUGCAUCCGAAACUGGCAGGCUUGAGUCUUGUAGAGGGGGGUAGAAUUCCAGGUGUAGCGGUGAAAUGCGUAGAGAUCUGGAGGAAUACCGGUGGCGAAGGCGGCCCCCUGGACAAAGACUGACGCUCAGGUGCGAAAGCGUGGGGAGCAAACAGGAUUAGAAACCCUUGUAGUCCCAUGA
rnacentral:rRNA from 1 species